rnacentral:rRNA from 1 species
GACGUAGGAUGCAAGCGUUGUCCGGAUUUAUUGGGCGUAAAGCGCACGUAGGCGGUUCGUUAUGUCGGAUGUGAAAGCCCUUGGCUUAACCGAGGAAGUGCAUCCGAAACUGGCGAGCUAGAGUACGAAAGAGGAUCGCGGAAUUCCCGGUGUAGAGGUGAAAUUCGUAGAUAUCGGGAGGAACACCGGUGGCGAAGGCGGCGAUCUGGGUCGAUACUGACGCUGAGGUGCGAAAGCGUGGGGAGCAAACAGGG